rnacentral:lncRNA from 1 species
UGGAUUCAGACACCACAAACACAUCCAAGUGUCUUCCAUGAGCCAGCCUUUAUGUAAGGUUGGCAUACAGUCUUUUAGUUAGCAUUUCAAGUUGCAAAAAGCCUGUGAGAAAGAUCAUUUGCUUCAUCACUGCUGAAUUUCUCCUUUCAAGUGGGUGUUGAUACUCUCACUGGAUUUUCUUAUCUCUGCCCAUUGCUCAUUACACUCUGAGGGAUCUGGCUCAACUUGAGUGAGUUAACAACUGCAGAUCUUGUCCUUUGACAGCAGCUAGAAGACCUCAGUCUCCCAACUCUUGAGUACACAGUGUUCUCUGCAAAAUUUGAACACCAGUCAUUAGAGAAGAGACUCAAAGGCUUUUCUGUUUUGAAAGUAUCUAAUUGUUUCAGAGAGUUAUGAAUCUCCCAAUCUCUCUGUAUUUGAACUUCCUCCUCAUGACAUGAAAGGAUAUAGACUUUUCCAGGACACAUACAGCCCCACACGAUCAGUGGCUCCAUUAUCCACUCAUGAGUAAGGGCUGAAGGUCCCUUAGGUUUUGAACCAGUUGCUGUCUAUUAUACUUGAUGACCUAUACAAGUGUCAAGUCAAUAAAGCUACAUAAAGUCUGACAGAAAUUUACAGACUUAUUUUGAAAUAAUUAUUUGUGCACUGCUGGAAAAUCUCUCCUUUCCCUGAGGGGAAUAAGAGGUUUCCUCUUUAAGAAAAAGCGUCCAAUAGAAGAUGUAAUGAAAUUGGAAUGGAUUUCAAAUCAAUGACCUUCUUAGGCUGAAUCCAUUAUUUCUCUAAAGGUAAAGCUUAAGAUUACAUACUUUCUCACAAUAAUGUGCUUAACGACAACCUUUCAGGAGAAAAAGACUGACAGCAGUUAUUUUAUACGAAGGUAUGCAGCUUAUAAACAGGCUGUGCAAUGACCAGGCAGAAAGAUGUUUAAAGGUACAAGAAUUUCAGAUGAAGAUGAAAUGAGACUAUCAUUUGCUACAAAUUCAACUGUCUUUUAAAUGCCUCCUUUGUUAUGGAGAAAAUGACUACUUAAAAAGAUUUCACAGAAAGACUUAAAUCACACUCGUAGUAAUCAUUUGGUCUGCCACAACCCAAAUGCCUCAUUAGCAAUGUAAUUGCUCACACAGAAAAUACAGCAAGAGGUUGUCCCCUUUUCCAUGGGGGGGAAGAAAGAAAAGGAAGGAAGGAAGGAAGGAAAGAAGAAAGGGGGAAGGAAGAGAGACAGAGAGAAAGAAAGAGAAAGGAAAGAAAAAAGAAAGAAAGCGAGAAAGAAAGAAAGAAAGAAAGAAAGAAAGAAAGAAAGAAAGAAAGAAAGAAAGAAAGGAAGGAAGGAAGGAAAAGAAAAAGCAAACAUCAACUAUGCUUAUAUAAACAAAGAAUAUUUUAGUGGAAUGAAUGUAAGCUUUCUCCUGAAGGAAUCCCAUUUAGAAUGUCAUCAGAAAUGGCAACACUUUCAACAUCAUAGCAGUAAUGUAUUCCAACUUUAUUAGCACUGAGGCACAAAGUCAAAUUUGGCAGGAGAAAAGGUAAACAAACAUUACUGACAUUGCAACAGACUAAGUGAUCUUGUAAGCCUCACUGUUAAGAGAGAAAAUUAAAAUAGAUAAUAUCUUUGUUAUAACUACAAUAAUUUCUAGGACUGCUGCCUAGGAUAAAAAUAUUCUUCGUUCUCCCAUUUUAAAUUUCUAUAUAAAGACACUAUUAAGUUGCAGUAACAUGUAUUUUUAUAUUUCAAUAAGUCCCUCAUAAUAAAUUUGACCUCCAUUUCAAAGUUGAUUAGGAAGUAGUAAAUUGAAACCUUUAGGUUUUCUGUCCUUUUUAAAGCAAAUAUGCACCAUAAGCAUUUUCUUGUAAUGACAGCCUUGAAGUGCUGUCAAUCAAUGGCAAGUGCUUAAGGGAGAAACCCCAUUAAUAAAUUGGACCUUCCUGUCACACAAGCAGCUGCUCAUUCACACAAAUGCAUGUCUAUCUUCUUCCUCAACUCCUUGCUUCAGUUCCACUUUUUGAAUUGAGCCAGAUUUACCUACCAGUGAAGCAAACAACAAGCUUUAAUUAUGCAUGCUGAUUGUAAUUCAACUUAAUCCUUCAAUAACUGAAUAUCAUGGAUAAGUCUUUCAUGUUCUUCAUUUUGUUUACUCUUUCAUAUAGGUCCUUGCAUUUGAUAAAUUUUAACAAUAGUUUUACUAGAAAAAGUCAACAAGCCUAUGUGGGUUUGUGUUCAGUCAAGAAACAGUGAACAAAUUUAGCUCCUCUGGUAAUCAUCCUGAGCUCAUAGGAAGAAUAUCACCUAAGUGGCAAGAGAGAAUUAUAAUGCUAUUACUAAAAUAAUACCCUAUGAAGAGAGGCCAUAGAAUUUUCCACAAAUAGCCUAUUAGAGACUCACAUUUUAUAAUAUAGAAAAAUCAUAUUCUCUUCAUAGAAACAUCAUAGGUUACAAUGUGAGUUUGAAUCAUAUGUUACUUACAGGUUUGCUCUAUAAAUUGACAUGGGACUUAUUCUUAACCUGAAGACUUUCUACAAUUAGACCAGUACCAACAAAACCUGUCAUUUGCGUACAUUGUAAGACUUUCAGGGGGAAAAUACUAUAAUAUUGAUCUUUACAUUCCAUAUGGAAUAUCUUUGCACAGGUAAUUAAGGUGAUUUGGAUAACUAUAUAUAGUGUGUUUUAGAAUAAGCUACUAAAGUGAUUCUUAAAGUCUGAUCCCCAGACAACCACCAUCAGCAACAAUUUGGAAAUUUGUUAGUUGUACAAAUUAUCCAUCCCUAGCUGAAACCCCUGACCAAAUAUAUGAAUCAGAAAUUCGAGGUAUAGGCUUAGCAAAGUGGGUCAUGAUAAGCCCUUCAGAUGAUUCUGAUUUGUGUUCCAAUUUAAAACCAUUUAUGCACACCAUGCUCUGUAUGGUCAGAAUAAUCAAUGUCACCAUGGUUUAACUCUGCUUCUUCCCAGGAAGAAGCUUGAAAGCUUAAAUUGUAAGCUCCGCCUUGGUACAAUGAAGCUAGUGUACGGGCAGAAAUGUUCACCAUUCAGACCUACAAUGCCAUUUAAAGGAAAAUUUAUCCUUAGAACUAUUUGUUUCUGAUAUAAGUGGGCCUUGGGCAGGCUUGCCAGUCAGAGAGAUUUCUGAUUAGCCUUUAUCAUUCUUUUUAAAAGCAAGAGCUGAUCUGAUUUACUUGACUGCCCAAGGGCCUAGAAAAUGAUCUUGGAGGUCUUUCUCUUCAUGGAUUAGCUCUGCCCAUUUGCCCUAGUGCUGCAGUGUUGUGUAACUGUCUGGUGACAGUCUUCCAGUUUGAAGAGUGGGUAGACGCUGAGAUAAAUGGCCACUAGUGAUGAGUGAGCUUUGGUUUUUAGAAGGUGUUUCCAAAGGCCCACAUGGCUCAUAAAACUUGAAAACCACAGACAGGGCAGGCACGACCCCAAGUCCCCAGAGACCUCCUUUCUAGGCUUUCUCAUUUGCUCUGGGCCAGGACUGAAGUAGAGAGUCACCAAGGGACUUUGCAUAUAAAAAUGGCUUAGACAAGGAAACUUAGGGUUGUGGAGUGUGUGUGUGUGUGUGUGUGUGUGUGUGUGUUUUCCCUUAAAUUUAAUCUGAAAAAAAUAUGUUAUGUGCACUUAAAACGCCCAUAUGUAUUUGGUCCUUCCUGUUGAUCUAGAAAAAGUAAUUCAAAGGAUCUAAAAAAGAAAAAGCCUAACAUAUAAGCUCCAUAAUGAUAUUCUGGAGGCAAACACUAGAACUAUCACUUUAGUCCUCCCUCAGGAGCCAGAAUUGUCAGCUAUUUUGAAAUGACUGCUCUUUUCUGGGAUGGGGGGGAUGAGAAUUAGUGAUAGACAUCUUUUGUUCUAACUGCUCCUCUAAAAUCUGUGUUCUCCUGUCGGUGAUCAAAGCUUGAGCGUGUGUUUGGGCAUCCAUUUGCUGUGGCUGAGCACAUCAUCUCAUUGGAUCUUUUCCCACUUCUCUGAUCCUACCGUGUCCCACCUCAAGGUAGCUCCACCAACUCCCACACCGCCAGUGUCCACCAUAAUCUACAUCUCCAUUGCACAUCCUAAAUUUUGCUCAAUGUCAAAGCCUUGCUAAGAAGCUACUUCCUAGAAUGAUUACACCUUUCAGGCCAGUUUCAUCCUUGCAGGGGAAGAGACUGGGUCAGAAUGACAGGAAUUCACUCAGAUCCAUCAAAGAGAUCAAGAGCUGUUACCUUCUUCCUGACCUCCGUAGUCACAGGGGUUUCCAAGGCCAAGUCCCAACAAUGGCUUUUCUUCGUCCACAUGCUUUGUGCUAUUGGCUCAGAUACUGAAAUCUUGAAACCUUGAUUUAAAAUUUAUCACAGAAAAAGCAGGGGGGAAAGUGACACACUCUAAAGACCUUUACUUAGGAAGUACAUCAAAUCUUAUUCCACUUAGAAUGGCUAUUACUAAGAACUCAGGAAACAACAAAUGCUGAGAGGAUUCGGGGAAAAAGAACCCUUCUACAUUGUUGGUGAGAAUGUAAACUAGUAUCAGGACCGUGGGAAUCAGUAUGGAGAUUCCUCAAAUAACUAAAAAGAAAUUACAUUUGACCUAGCUAUUCUUCUGGGUAUCUUCCCAAAAGAGCUAAAGUGAUCAUAUUACAAUGAACAUACAUAUCCAUGUUUACAUCUGCACAAUUCAUGAUAUCUAAAUUGUGGAAGCAGCCAAUAGGCCCAUCAAGAGAUGAAUGGAUAAAGAAAAUGUGGUAUUUAUACACAGUGGAUAUAUAGCUAUAUAUAUCCACUCAGCUAUAAAGAAGGAUACAUUUGAAUUAUUUGUAGAUAAAUGGAUGGAUCUUGAGACCAUAAUUCUAACUAAAAUAGAUGCAGAAGGUUAAGUAUCACAUGGGUUCACUCAUAAGAGGAACCCAAAGUGUAAAUACAGCAAAAUUAAAGAGAGGUGGUAAGAAAUAGGGAGGUAGCCUCUAUGGAGAUGGGAAGGGAAUAAAGGGAAGCAGAUCAGGGGAAGGAGGAAGAAGGAAGGUUAAGAGGGGAAGGGUGAGUAAAAGUGAUCAAGAUGCAUUAGUAUAUGUACCAGUUCCCAAAGAUAGGUGUAAUUAUUAUGUUUCACAAACAUAUACUAAUAAAUAUAUUAAAGGCCCUGACAUUAGAAGGUAGUGGAUAAUUAUCUUUUAGUACCUCUACAGCUUUGCCUUUCAGUACUAUUCAUAGGUCAGUGGUGCAACUCAACACUAUUCCAAUAAAGCCAUAAUAACAAUCAUUGCUGGGACAACUGUUAUUACAACAGGACUUCCCUGAGUUCCACUGAUCCAUAUUUGUAGACAGUAUCAAGCUCACACCAGAGGACAUGUGGCUUUCUCAACACAGAGAAGGGAAGGGACCAGCAUGCUGUACAUACUGUAUAUAUGCACAAAAGUGCUCUGUGCCACUGACAGAGUUGAGGAGCAGGUGAGAAGGAAGACUUCUCUUGGACUUCUGUCUCGUUCUUGAUGGUUACUGAUGGAAGAUUUUCCCCACUGGAUAAGGUUAAUGGAAAACUGUGGUGGUGAAUUGAACUCAUUCUGAUCCAGAGCAAGGGGCAAUCCAUAAAAAAAAGGGUGGCACGACAUCAUGUCAGAAACCUCACCUCUGUACUAAUGCAUUGAUGACAACAACAACAAAAAGAAACCUCAUCUCCCCAAAUAGUAAUCAAGAAUUCCCUACACUGGGUCAAAAAGGAAAAGACAUCCUGUGCAUACCAUAUAACAUGUUUGAAGGAUACAUCACAAAUAAUCUUCAAAGGAAGGGAGGAGGAGAGUAGAAGGAAGAGAGGCACAACUAAGAGAUCUUACCUUGGAAAAUGCAGCAAGCAACCCUAAUAUUUCUCCAGCUUACCUGGAAUAUUUCUCAUACAUCUGAAGCUAUUUUUUAGAAUAAACACGCAGCACUUUGAAAUUUCUGAGUGAUGGCAUAUCAGUCAGAUAUUUGGAUACUUAAGUGAAUUUUUCAGUUUUGAGUCUUUCAUGCUGAUGAAUGUAAUCGCUUAAGAAUUGCCAUUUUGAGCCCAAAAGACACACAAGUAUAUGCACCAUAUGUUACUCAUUUUGUGGAAAACACAAUGUAUAAUAUUCAGUUUCCAGUGUGGUUUUUUUUAGUGUGCUUCAGUGAUAAAAUUUUAUGUGGAAUAAAGGUAGACAUACCCUCAUUGGUGAUCAUAUUGUUGAAAUUACAAUAUGUAAAAACGCUGUUAGAAAAACCUGUGUAAAAUAUCUUCUCUACUAUCAAUGAAUCAAUACACUUGGAACUUAAUUUUCAGAAAGAAUAUGUGCUACACUUAAAUAUUUUAUAUCUGUGAUGUUUUCUUAUUAUCUUAAAGUAGUUAAUGAGUGACCAGUUACCUGAUAUUAUCAAAAGGGAAAAUGGCCUCACUGAAGGAAUAAUGGAUGAUAUUUAUAAAGUUUCCUGCCAAAGAAAACUGUUUAAUGAUCUGUAAAUGUAGACUAACUUCUUCUAUUAUGAACAUGAUUGUCAGAAAUGCUUUCCUUAUCAUCGUCUAUCUUUUGAAAAUUAGUAUUUUGUAUUUCUAAGGACCAAGGAAAUAUUUUUAAAGCCAAUGUAAUACCCAGAAGCCUUGAAUAGGAGAGGUAUGGUGUCUUGGGUCAACAACAUCAAGCUAUAUUUGAAUUCUAAUAUUUUACGGUAAACUUAUCACUCUUUCCUCCAAUUCUUAUACUGCAUUAUGCAUUUUGGGAAUUUCAGCUGGUCUUUACAGUUAGAGGUACCAACAGUAACAGCAGAUGUUGUCUAACAUGGGAAGCAUUAAAAUGCUCCCCUUAAAGCACUUUGAGUGGAUGGAAAUGGCUAUUUAAUUUUCUCGUCUAACCAUUUCAUAUAACUUAAAGGCCUGAAAUGUUGCACAAGAUGUUAACAGACUGUGUGCAUCAAGGAUAUUUAAUCUGUGCAGUUAGCAAGAACUAGCCAUUUAAAAAUAUAUUCAAAUGUUUUGUAAAUAAAAAUUUUGAUUACUAGAGUUUUGUUCAAACUACUGUCUUUUAAAACAAUUAGAUUUUAUUUGAAUUUUAAAAAGAAUCUGUUACAAGUUAAUGUUGCUUUGUUGACUGUGUGAUUCAACGUACACUCAGCCAUAUUCUUGUGGGAAAAUAUCAAUCCUAUUGACUUUCUUGGCACGAGCCAGAGACUCACAGUUUCUCUAAGGACUGUAAGUAUAAAGACAAAAAAGCACCCAAAGGAAAUGCUAGUGAAGAAAUGAGAAGCGUAUUGUACAAAAUGUAUUUUUAAAAUAUUAAGAUAUAUGUGAUUUACACUGCCUGUUAAUCUAGUCUCUUUGUGAAAUAACCACAGCAUAAUAUUUGUUAAGACUUGGAGACACCAAAUAUUUGUGAUGUCUGUACAGCACCGUUGUUAUAAUAUGUGAUUUCAAAUGAUAAACAUCUUUGUUGUAAUCACGUGAUUCCCAGAAGAAUAAAUUUCUGCUAUUAUGUAAAACCAGCUCUCAGAAUUCAGAUUCCCUGCAGCUGCUAUAUCACCAAUAAAUGAGAAUUAAUUGUGGAAAAACAAUUUUGAACGAAUUUAGUUUAUGAUGACUGUGCAUUUUGUCAAUGAAUGAAUUCAGAGAGUUUUAUUUUUACCAGAUAUGCUCUCAGCCAGUGAAUACAACUGCUGAUUUCAACCAUAAUAUUAUUUCAAAUAUUUCUAUAAUACUGAUCUAAUGACCAAACAAUGGAAGCUUUGUGUGAAGUGCGUCCUAACAAAUGUACAAUAAAUGACUUUUCCUGCAUGCUGCCUGAAAUAUGUUAUAAUCUGAAAUGUCCUAUCAAAAAAUUAUAUAUUUCACAACCCAAAAUUGAACUGACAAUAUAUCUCAUGUGUAUAACUGAUGGUAUGUUAAUAUCAAAAUCAGAAACAUUGUCUGUCAUACAUGUAUGUUAAAUGUGAUAUUUGAUCUUGUCAAAAUGUAACUUGUGAUGUUUUCAUUUCCUAAACAAGUUGAUUCUGUACAAAUCAUUGUCUUAACUGUUUUCCUUAUCAUACCAUAUUUCCUAACACUGAAAUAUAAAUGUUUGUUAAUUAAUUGUUCAUUUUUUCGUCAACUUUUAUGUAUCUUUAAUGUGACUCCAUUACCUAACCUGAACAAAGGAAAAUCAAAGCUUUCCCUGUCAUGGGCCCAGGGAUAUUUGUUCAUUCAUCCAUCUAACAAGUAUUUAUUAAGCAUCUACUAUGAAUAAGAUUCUUUACCAAAUAUUGGGAGAAUUCAUAAGAACCAGAGAAAUUGUUAAUCUGUAUCCUCCAGGGAAGUUUUCUGAAAUCUCCCUGAACCAUUUUGUGUUUUCCAUGGAGUUGUUAAGAAAUUAGCUUCCUUCUCCUAUGUUAUAACAAAUUAUCUAUUAAAGAGUCC